rnacentral:tRNA from 1 species
AGUGAAAAGCAAAAAAAUUUGCAUUUAAUUUCGACCUAAACUUAGAUACUUAUAGUAUCUUCACUU